rnacentral:rRNA from 1 species
GAUGAACGCUGGCGGCGUGCCUAAUACAUGCAAGUCGAGCGAACAGACGAGGAGCUUGCUCCUCUGACGUUAGCGGCGGACGGGUGAGUAACACGUGGAUAACCUACCUAUAAGACUGGGAUAACUUCGGGAAACCGGAGCUAAUACCGGAUAAUAUAUUGAACCGCAUGGUUCAAUAGUGAAAGACGGUUUUGCUGUCACUUAUAGAUGGAUCCGCGCCGCAUUAGCUAGUUGGUAAGGUAACGGCUUACCAAGGCAACGAUGCGUAGCCGACCUGAGAGGGUGACGGGCCAAACUGGAACUGAAACACGGCCCAGACUCCUAGGGGAGGAAGCAGGAGGGAAUUUUCCGAAAGGGGGGAAAGCCUGCCGGAGCAACGCCGCGGGAGUAAUGAAGGUCUUCGGAUCGUAAAACGCUGUUAUUAGGGAAAAAAAAAUGUGUAAGUAACUAUGCACGUCUUGACGGUACCAAAAAAAAAAGCCACGGCUAACUACGU